rnacentral:rRNA from 1 species
UACAGAGGUGGCAAGCGUUGUUCGGAAUUACUGGGCGUAAAGGGCGCGUAGGCGCCUUCUAAGUCAGACGUGAAAUCCCCCGGCUUAACCUGGGAACUGCGUCUGAUACUGGACGGCUCGAGUUUGGGAGAGGGAUGCAGAAUUCCAGGUGUAGCGGUGAAAUGCGUAGAUAUCUGGAGGAAUACCGGUGGCGAAGGCGGCAUCCUGGACUAACACUGACGCUGAGGCGCGAAAGCUAGGGGAGCAAACGGG